UGAAGAAGAGCACCCUUUGGUAUGUUGUCACCACUAAAUGCUACCACCUAGCCAUGCUGCAAUGAAUCUAACUGAUCUUCUGUCCCUUUGAACCAUGAUCUAAUUAUGCUAUUCUGUUAAAGAUGAUUGAAGAAUAGCAUUCUUUGGUUUUUCAACACCAGACAGCUGACAUAUACAAGUAUCUAUCUGGUCUCCUAUCAACUUUCAACCAUGGCUUAAGGAUGCCAUCCUGAAAAAGCAAUUUGAAGACAGAGAAGGCAACUGUUUGCAAGCCAAGAAGACAGGCCUCACCAGAAACUCACUCUGCAGACACCUUGAUCUUGGAUUUCCAACCUCCAG